AUGACCAAGUGCCAUGUGUAUACACUGAAGACUUAUGCUAACUCUCUUAGCAUCGGAGAACGAGCGGAGCCGGGAGAAAGCAGAACGCCUAGAUCUGAGAGAUUUCUCAGAAUAACAUUACACGCCGGAGGCAGUCUAGUACUCUCCACUGUGGCUCAGUACCUGGAUUCUGCCACCCACAUGGCCACAGCUCCCCAUCUGCCUUUGUCAACAGGAGUAUUAUCUUGGAAUGUUGCAGGUAAGCCCGUGGGAGGGCCUUCAGUUGUAGCCAGUUGUCCCCAGGAGCCCAUAGGGGCUGCGGUCCUUAGAGGUGAUCAGAUGAGGAAGACCACGGGGGUGGGGGUGGCGGGGGGGGGGGGGGUGAGCAGUGACCCUUGGCUGUGUCCUUUCGCUGUAGGUCAGAAGCCUGCCUCUGUAUCUCAUCUGCCAGCCUAGCCAAGCCCUUCCACCGGAGCUGCCCCUGUUGACUCACACCUGUCAGGCGGGUGGGCAACGCUAUGAAACUGACCAGGAAGUCACCUGAGCAACUUCAGAGCUUGCUCCUGCUGGGAGAGAAAGGCCGGUUCAUACUUGCCUGGGAACUUCAGAGGUGGCGCCAGGGCUGAAGUUCCUCCAGCAACUGACUGCCCACAGCAGAGCCUCGACCAUUUAGCUACCUCUGCACCGUCCAUCCAGGACCAGGCACCCAGUAAGUAGAUGCUCAAGGUAGCCUUGUAGAAUGGCCGCGGAGCCACAGGGGUCCAGCAGGGUGUUAAGAUAAAGUGAUCUGGAG
rnacentral:lncRNA from 1 species